rnacentral:rRNA from 1 species
UACGUAGGGUGCGAGCGUUGUCCGGAUUUAUUGGGCGUAAAGAGCUCGUAGGCGGUUUGUCGCGUCGGCCGUGAAAUCUCCACGCUUAACGUGGAGCGUGCGGUCGAUACGGGCAGACUUGAGUUCGGUAGGGGAGACUGGAAUUCCUGGUGUAGCGGUGAAAUGCGCAGAUAUUAGGAGGAACACCGGUGGCGAAGGCGGGUCUCUGGGCCGAUACUGACGCUGAGGAGCGAAAGCGUGGGGAGCGAACAGG